UACCCCCUUUCCCCAGGUGAACUAAUCACCUGAUUGAAACCAAUCAAGGAGUCAGUCAGAAGGCAGCAGGACACAGUCAUUCCUGAAACAAUCAAGGAGAACUUCUAAAUGAGAAACACUGUGCUUUUUAACCCUGGACACAAAGCUGGACUUAACUUAACUGAGACUUCAAACCCUUGAGGAGCUGAUGUGCUGCUGCUGCUGCUGAGGAGGAAUGUUUCAGGACUGAACACUGGUCAGGCCAUAUUGCCGGAGCAAAGAAGCUGGCGAGCUAAAGGAGCAACUUCAAAAGACUCAAGAUUCCCUCAAAAGGCAGGUCUCAAGCCUGGCUGUCUGGUUCAAGGGUUUGGUAGGAUUUCCCCUACCUAAAUAAACAUUUGAAUUCUUGGGACAUCUGCACACACGUAACACUCAACUGCAGCACGUGUAAUGUGUUUGGUGCCUUGAUUUCUAUGAAUAGAAUUGGGAAUGUUUAGCAUAUGUUGUAUGGAGGGUAAAAGGUGCCCUAAAGAAUCUGUGAAUUGAAGGCCUAUUUUAUUUUAUUUAAUUGUGGGAUUUUCCUUGAUUAAGUUUAAGUGUUUUUUGUUAUUUGUCAACAUUCUGUGUCGUGUGUUUAAUUAAUUCUCCACCAGCUCAAGAGUCUAACCUUUGGCUUGAAGCAUUUGUAUAGUAGUCAAUCAUUUGCUGAUGCUUGGCAGCCAAUGUGAGUGGUAUAUUCUUAAAACAAUUUGUACGACGAGCAACCUGCUUAAAAAAAGCUAUGCUUUGCCUCAAAUCUCAUUGUCCAUUGCCCCACUAAAGGUCCAAAACAUUCAAUCACCUGAGGGUAAUGCUCAAUGUAGUGAUGUUUUGGUCGGAGUCGUGCGGGGACAAAAGCUCCAAAAAUCCAUUUCUGUGUUCAGUGAUUCUGCAUUCCAAGUAGGCAAUGGUCUCUUUAUUGUAAGCAGGUGCCACAACGAGUUCAACAAUGUCUUUUAAAUCAAGCAACACAAGCCAAGCAGGCUCUUCCUCUGGUAUUAAGUCUCCAAUAAUUAAUGGGAGCAACCUUAUUAAAUUCCAAUUUCCAUGGGCAUUGCCUCCGACAGUCUUUGUAGUUGCUAAAGUGCGAGCUAUAACAUGUGGUUUGUUAGUUUUAUCCCCCCACUUAUACGGGAAGUUUAUGAUUAAAUUGUUUAGAGUGUCAAGAGAGAGAUACUUUUUAGAAAUUAGUAUUCCAAUGCAGAGAGGAAAACUCAACUAGUCCCUCAAACAAAUCAUGAGCAAUGACGUGAAAAUAAGACAAAUUCUUGGAAAACGCACACUCUUUUUACUCCACAACAGAUUGUUGAGCUGUCAUUUGCGGAUCUAAUGUGUGUAUCAUGUACGUCUUUGGUUCUUGGUGUAAAAUGUCCUGACUGAACAGUCUUAUCCUGAAUGUCUGAUCUCAUGUCCAUACAACUUCACAUCAGUACUCUUGCACAAUACUGCCAAAUAAAUUGAAGAUACAGUUGA